UAGGGAAUCUUCCACAGUGGGCGCAAGCCUGAUGGAGCAACACCGCGUGAGUGAAGAAGGGUUUCGGCUCGUAAAGCUCUGUUGUUAAAGAAGAACACGUAUGAGAGUAACUGUUCAUACGUUGACGGUAUUUAACCAGAAAGUCACGGCUAACUACGUGCCAG
rnacentral:rRNA from 1 species